rnacentral:rRNA from 1 species
UACGUAGGGGGCAAGCGUUGUCCGGAUUUAUUGGGUUUAAAGGGUGCGUAGGCGGCUAAUUAAGUCAGCGGUGAAAUUCCACAGCUCAACUGUGGAACUGCCAUUGAUACUGGUUGGCUUGAGUACAGAUGAGGUAGGCGGAAUUGACAGUGUAGCGGUGAAAUGCUUAGAUAUUGUCAAGAACACCUAUUGCGAAGGCAGCUUACUAAGCUGUAACUGACGCUGAGGCACGAAAGCGUGGGGAUCAAACAGG